UACGUAGGGUGCGAGCGUUAAUCGGAAUUACUGGGCGUAAAGCGUGCGCAGGCGGUAAUGUAAGACAGAUGUGAAAUCCCCGGGCUUAACCUGGGACCUGCAUUUGUGACUGCAUUGCUGGAGUGCGGCAGAGGGGGAUGGAAUUCCGCGUGUAGCAGCGAAAUGCGUAGAUAUGCGGAGGAACACCGAUGGCGAAGGCAAUCCCCUGGGCCUGCACUGACGCUCAUGCACGAAAGCGUGGGGAGCAAACAGG
rnacentral:rRNA from 1 species